GGGCCCUGUGGCCGCACUGCCCGCCCCUCCCUCCGCGGGGCAGCGGGCGCCGUGUCCCAGCUCGCAGCGCUGCGCGCUGGGGCAGAGCGGGGCACCGUCCGUCUGCAAGCGGAGAUAUAAUCAGGAUGAAAAACACUUCGGCUGAGAAUGCUGAAAACACCAGCUGGGCACUUUCCUCUGGUUCUACCUACAGCACAGUGUUGCCAACUUACUGGAAUUCUUGUCGUGGUUUCACAGCAAGGCUCAGGCUGACCAAACGGAACCAGCUGCGUUUGUGUAUGGGGCCGCCGCCGCUUUAAUCCCCCAACAACGCCGAUGGGGAGGGACGGAGGGAUCCUCGAAGGGGCACGGGCAGAUCCGCUCAGUACAGAUGGGUACCUGAAAAGCCAAUACACCAACACUUUUUAAUUAGAAGGGGAAUGAUUUAAAGCUGCUCACACCCCAGCAAUGCACAGACAGGGCCUGAGAGCUGCAACCCCAGACUGUGAGCUAUGUGCACCCUUGGUCACUGCUUCUUUGGCUGGCCUGGAUGCAAGGUUUGGGAAGCACCUGUUUCACACAGCUGGCACACUGAAAGCACACUCCUGCCUCCAUUGGCUUUACCAUUUCCCAGAGGGCUGAGGGAAAUAACUAUUCUCAAACAGGAAUGAAUGGAGACACCACAAACAGUGAGGGCAAGCCCUGUUUUGAGCUCCUGGGUCAGCCUUCCUCACCAUUAUUCCUAGCACUCAAACAGAAAUUACCCAGUUACUUUGCUGAAGAAGAAUGAGUCACUAAGAAGCCAGCACAAGAUCAUGCUGUUUUCAGUUUACUUAAAAAAAAAAAAAAAAAAAAAACCACACAUUUUCUCCUCUCACUUAAC